rnacentral:lncRNA from 1 species
CAAACUGAAACACACACUCUAUUUUUUUUUUAAUUUCAGUGUUCUUCAAAUAUUAAAACCGGUAAAACAUGAAACUAAAAUAUCUUAUUAAAAUCUGAAACAUUUGAGGGGCUUUAUUGGUGGUGAUGUUUGGUGCAUUGUCAAGAGGGAAAUAUGAGCUGUUAGACUAAGGCGAUCCUAUAAUCUUUAUUUUAUUUUUCUGUUAACGUAUAUGUUUGAAUUAAUUAGUAAGAGAAUGGUGGGUGGGACACAUUCUUAUUAUUUUAGACCUUUCAAUUUCUCUUUCUCAUUUCCAAUCCUUGUCCUAAACUAAUCCCUACAUCGGCUCCACUAGUUUAAAUUGGGGAAAAUCACAUAAAAAACCUUGAAAGUGUCACUAACUAGCACUUUAAACCUUGAAGUUUUUUUGCUAGCACUUUUAACCUUCAAAGUGACAUUUUUAUCAUAAAAAACCUCCAAACAAGAAAAAUGACCGGUUAAACAGGUUAAAAAAUGUUUUUUUUUUCAAAAAAUAAUUAUUUAAUUAAUAAAAUAAACAAAAAAAUUAAUAAAAAUCGAAAAAUUUAACAAAAAACUCACAAAUUAAAAAAUGAGAAAAAAAAUAUUUAAAAAUUAAAAUAAAAAAUAACAAAAAAUUCAAAAAAUAAAUAAGAUCAAAUUAAAAUGAAAAAAAAUUAAAAAACAUAAAUUUAAAAAAAAAUUGAAAUUUUUUGAAACUGUUUUUAAAAUUUUUAUUUUUAAUUUUUUAGUAUUUAUUUUUUAUUUUAUAAAAUUUUAAACCCUAAUUCCAAAACCUCACCCCUUAACUCUAAACCCUAAAGUUUGGAUUAAUUAACCCAAGGGGUAUAAGUGUAUAUUUACCUCUUUAAUGAAACUUAUUUUUGUGACUUUGAGCCUUGAAUACUAGUUUGAGAUCAAAAACUUGGUUUGGUGUUAUCUUAGUCUUUUUUUUUUAUCAACACAUAUCUCCAAUGAUAAUUUCCGACAUUAUAUUUGAAAAUGAAAAAAAAAACUUUUUGAAUUUUCAAUUUUUUGAAAUUUAUUAUUAUUUUUUCUGUAUUUUAAUUUGAUCUUAUUUAUUUUUUAAUUUUUAGUUAUUUUUUAUUUAAUUUUCUAAAUCUUUAUUUAUUUUUCUCACUUUUUUAAAUUUAUGAGUUUUUUGUUAAAUUUUUCGAUUUUAUUAUUAUUUUUGUUUAUUUAUUAAUUAAAUAAUUAUUUUUGAAAAAAAAACUGUUUUUAACCUGUUCAGCAGGUCAUUUUUCUUCUUUGGAGGUUUUUUAUGAUAAAAAUGUCACUUUGAAGGUUAAAAGUGUUAGUGAAAAAAUUCAAGGUUUAAUGUGCUAGUAAGUGACACUUUCAAAGUUUUUUAUGCGAUUUUCCCGUUUAAAUUGUAUUUGGGUUUGUCUAAUUGUCUAACUAGAUAAAAAACGCCGCUAAAUUUUGAUAACCGAUCAAUAUCGAGAAUGCAAUCAAAAUUUAGCGGCGGUUUUUUAUCGAGUAAUUCUUGUGUCCACCCUCUAGGGUGAACCUAUAUAGGUUCACCUAGCCAAUAAUAACUUGCCACAUCAUAUUUAGUUUUUGGAAGAAAAAAAGGUAAAAAACAUAAAUAGAAUUAUCUACAAAAUUAAAAAGAGAAAAAGAAUUAAAAAAAAAGGAAAACAGAAUAUGACGUGAAGUUGGUUAACGCCGUGGAAUACAAUUUUUCUUCUUCGUCGGCUGAAGAAAAAAUAGAUCACAGAGAAGAGAUGAAGCUGUGUUUGUGAUUUUCUGAGUCUUUAGUUCCUUGCUUUCAAAUCCAAUCUCGAAUUCACCUCCGAUCAAUGUACUGGUAACCCUAAUAAUCUUUUUUUUGUCAAC